AGGUACAGCGGGAAGCCACCUGGCGACAGGGAGCGGAACCCGAAAGCCUGUCUCAGUUCGGAUUGGAGUCUGCAACCCGACUCCAUGAAGCUGGAUUCGCUAGUAAUCGCGCAUCAGCCACGGCGCGGUGAAUACGUUCCCGGGCCUUGUACACACCGCCCGUCAAGCCAUGGAAGCCGGGGGUGCCUGAAGUGCGCUGCCGCAAGGAGCGCCCUAGGGUAAAACCGGUGACUGGGGCUAAGUCGUAACAAGGUAAC
rnacentral:rRNA from 1 species